AUUGAACGCUGGCGGCAGGCCUAACACAUGCAAGUCGAGCGGAGCGGCGGACGGGUGAGUAAUUCCUCGGAAUCUGCCUGGUAGUGGGGGAUAACGUCCGGAAACGGGCGAUAAUACCGCAUACUAUCAGAUGAGCCUAGGUCGGCUUAGCUAGUUGGUGGGGUAAAGGCCUACCAAGGCGACGAUCCGUAACUGGUUUGAGAGGAUGAUCAGUCAAUGUGGAAUGGAGACACGGUCCAGAAUCCUACGGGAGUCAGCAGUGGGGAAUAGGGGACAAUGGGCGAAAGCCUGAUCCAGCCAUGCCGCGUGUGUGAAGAAGGUCUUCGGAUUGUAAAGCACUUUAAGUCGGGAGGCGUUACCAACAGAAUAAGCACCGGCUAACUUCGUGCCAGCAGCCGCGGUAAUUC
rnacentral:rRNA from 1 species